GCAUAGCAUAGCAUAGCGCAGUGGCGCUUGAGUAGGCGUAGGAUGCGGCAGCGGCAAUAGCUCCUCACAGCAUGGCCUCGGUCGCCGCUUGGCUGCCGUUUGCCCGGGCGGCGGCCAUCGGCUGGGUGCCCAUUGCCAGCCAUCCCCUGCCUCCUCCGCCCGUGCCCAAGGACCGUCGCAAGGCUGAUGACGAGAAACUGCUUAUCAACGUGUCUGGUCGUCGCUUCGAGACUUGGCGUAACACGCUCGAAAAGUAUCCUGACACUUUGCUCGGCUCCAAUGAGCGCGAAUUUUUCUUCGACGAAGAAUGCAAAGAGUACUUCUUCGACCGCGAUCCUGACAUAUUUCGACACAUCCUCAACUACUACCGCACCGGCAAGUUGCAUUAUCCGAAGCAUGAGUGCCUGACGAGCUAUGAUGAGGAGCUGGCCUUCUUCGGUAUUCUGCCCGAUGUGAUUGGUGACUGCUGCUAUGAGGACUACCGAGACCGCAAGCGGGAGAACGCCGAACGUCUGAUGGACGACAAGCUCUCGGAGAAUGGCGAUCAGAAUCUGCCACAGCUGACCGACAUCCGACAGAAGAUGUGGAGAGCCUUCGAGAACCCACACACGUCGACAGCGGCACUGGUGUUCUACUAUGUGACGGGCUUCUUCAUCGCGGUGUCAGUGAUGGCAAACGUGGUGGAGACGGUGCCGUGUGGCCACCGACCGGGUCGUGCUGGCACGCUACCCUGUGGCGAGCGCUACAAGAUCGUGUUCUUCUGCUUGGACACAGCCUGUGUGAUGAUCUUCACAGCAGAGUACUUGCUGCGACUGUUCGCCGCUCCCGACCGCUGCAAGUUCGUGCGUAGCGUGAUGUCGAUCAUCGACGUGGUGGCCAUUUUGCCGUACUACAUUGGCCUCGGCAUCACUGACAACGACGACGUGUCUGGGGCUUUUGUCACGCUGCGAGUUUUUCGCGUGUUCAGAAUUUUCAAGUUCUCCCGUCACUCGCAGGGUCUUCGAAUUCUAGGCUACACACUGAAAUCGUGUGCUUCCGAACUCGGCUUCCUCGUGUUCUCGUUGGCCAUGGCCAUCAUUAUUUUUGCCACGGUCAUGUUCUACGCAGAAAAGAAUGUCGAUGGCACUAACUUCACAUCGAUUCCGGCCGCCUUCUGGUACACCAUUGUCACUAUGACCACCUUGGGGUACGGAGACAUGGUACCAGAAACAAUCGCCGGUAAAAUAGUGGGUGGAGUCUGUUCAUUGUCAGGAGUGCUUGUCAUAGCAUUGCCCGUACCUGUUAUUGUGUCCAACUUCAGCAGAAUAUACCACCAGAAUCAAAGGGCUGACAAGCGCAAAGCUCAAAGGAAAGCACGUCUGGCUCGCAUCAGAAUCGCAAAAGCGUCUUCUGGAGCGGCCUUCGUCAGCAAAAAGAAAGCAGCUGAAGCCAGACUGGCUGCUCAAGAGUCCGGUAUGGAGAUGGACGAGAACUAUCGCGAAGAGGAUAUCUUCGAGUUGCAGCAUCAUCAUUUAUUACGCUGCCUAGAGAAGACUACGGACAGGGAGUUUGUGGAGCUGGAGGUGCCGUACAAUGGUCAGCCGAAAAGGCCAGGAUCGCCAUCUCCGCUGAUCAGUCCGACCCACUCGGCGGGGAGUCGGACAGGGCUGCUUCACUCCUGCUGUGGUCGCUGCUGUGGGCAACGUUACCAGAGUGCUAAAUAGACCUGGAGAUGUAGGCUAAAUAAUUUGAACAACUUCAGCGUUAUACAGUAAGAGAAGCAGCAGCAGCAGCAGCAGCAGCAGCAGCAAAAGCAGACGCAGCAGCAGACAGAUGAUGCAGAUGCAGAUGAUGAGAUCCAGAUCAGGUUGCAGUUACGGCGUGCUUGCGCGAGUGCGGGAACGAGCGAAGCCGCCGCCGCCGCCGCCGCCGCCGCUGCCAACUCGACAACAUCAUCAUCCAACAUGACAUCGGUCGUGGUCAACCUGCCAACAUCAUAUGCCAACUCUGACAUGAGCCCUGCCAGCCCCACCAGCGAGGCUCCUGAAGUGCGCAUUUCCUUCCUAUAACGACCUGUGAUCGGCAGCUAUGACAGUGUGACUGUGUCUCACUUCGAACUAAAACCCUGAAACUGAAGCGUGCAUUGAGUCAACCACUCCAAGCUCUGUGAAACAUUAUUGAAACUGAUAGAGCAUUCUGAAGCGGAAUUGGUGUGACAUUCGAAGAGUAAGUUCUGUCAAAAAUCCUCCAAGAAUCGCUCUCAAAUGUGCUAUACUGACAAAGCAUCAUUUUGCUCAAUAGGUACUUGUACACAAUAAUAAGACUAUGCAUUCUUGGUGAUUGAUGACAACAUUUUCUCAGAACUUCUUUGGUCUUGUGCAGAAAAUUGUCGAAAGUUAGUACACCUCAAUAACCUCUCUGGAAUCAUCCAAAUUUAGUGAUUUUGUUGUGGCGUGUUGGCUUAUGAAUCGGUAUCCAAUUUAUCAGUGCACUCUGCAGCUGAACAAACUGGGACAAUAUACAAUUUAGAAUUUCUUUUCAAAUUGUCAACUCAAUUACAUUGAUUAAUUACUGUAAUUCAUUUGGUUUUGAAAGUGAUGCAUGUAUACUUAUCUAUUAUUGGAAAUUAUUUGAUCGUAAAAGUUCUGCAUGAAUAUAAACCAUCAGUUGUAAGAAACAGAAAAUCGCUAAUCUCCUAAUCAUGAAUUAUUUCAUAAAAAGAGCCGAAAGCCACAUUUCAAUUUGAAAACGUAUGAUAGAGGAUAUGUGAUAUCUGAAAACAUAUCCAUUGCAAGUUAUUGGGAUGAUGUGCCAGAACAGAGUUGCCUUCUGCUUCAUCUUUGCAGAUCAGUUGCUCACAAAGCAUUGCACAUUCUUCAUUCAAUUUUUCCUACAAACAUAUAUAAAGUCCAUUACAUCUCUUUAAUGAUAUUGUAUUCGAGCAAUAGAAUAAUAAUUUUUAUUAUCGGAAAUGAGUUGCUCUCAAAUGUGUUUUAUGGUAAUAGGGCAUUGACUUAGUGAUUGUGAAAUUUGUAGAAGACUUCUUAUUGAAUUGACUCGCUCUCGAACACCACGAAAAUGUGCAUUGUGCAAUCACCAGGGUUUUUGUUGUGAGUCUUACCCAGUAGCUGACGCGCUUUCUACAUUCCGUAGUAGUAAAGGUAGUCUUUUAUAAACGAAAAUGAGCUGUUAACUAUAUCGAUCGAUCAGUCAAUCUUUAAACUUUUUCUUAACAGAAAUCCAGAUUAAGUAUUUCAUUAAUUCAAUUAUCGUUACUAUAGAUAUUGUAAGAUUUGAACUAUCGCACUGUGGAAGCUCGAAGACGUGUAUAACAAAUUUUCUAUUAACAUUGUAAUUGUUGUACUUGAUGAAUAUUUAAAUAUAGUUUUUAAAGAAA
rnacentral:misc_RNA from 1 species